rnacentral:rRNA from 1 species
GACGAACGCUGGCGGCGUGCUUAACACAUGCAAGUCGUACGGUAAGGCCCUUUCGGGGGUACACGAGUGGCGAACGGGUGAGUAACACGUGAGUAACCUGCCCACAACUUUGGGAUAACGCUAGGAAACUGUUGCUAAUACUGGAUAUGUGCUCCUGCUGCAUGGUGGGGGUUGGAAAGCUCCGGCGGUUGUGGAUGGACUCGCGGCCUAUCAGCUUGUUGGUGGGGUAGUGGCCUACCAAGGCGGCGACGGGUAGCCGGCCUGAGAGGGUGACCGGCCACAUUGGGACUGAGAUACGGCCCAGACUCCUACGGGAGGCAGCAGUGGGGAAUAUUGCACAAUGGGCGCAAGCCUGAUGCAGCAACGCCGCGUGCGGGAUAACGGGCUUCGGGUUGUAAACCGCUUUCAGCAGGGACGAAGCUUUUUGUGACGGUACCUGCAGAAGAAGCACCGGCUAACUACGUG